rnacentral:lncRNA from 1 species
CCAAAACUAACCCAUAUUAAUGCAAUCAAUUAGAGAUAACAAACCGAUGAAUAACCGAAAACAUAUAUUAACAGUGAAGUAAUUAACGAAAUAACUAAUUGAGCAACGACGUAAUCAGGAUCGUGUUAAACACAACAGAAAAAUGAAACUUAAUCCUAAACUAAAAUCCAAGAAAGUAGAAAAAUUAAGAACAUGGCAAAGGAUUAGGUACCAUGAACUCGAGGCCCGAGCGACGACGAAACAAUGAUGAUAGAAGUGGUUUGGGAUCGGGCAUGCUUUUAUUGUUGAUAUACACCAAAACCAUAAAUUUCGGUGAACCGAAAAAUGGUUUUGGUAUUGAUAACAAUAGAAACCUAUUCGAGGCCGGAGGUGGAAAUGAUAGGAAAUGAGGUUUUGGGUGGUUCGUAGUAGUGGCAGCAGCGGUGCUAGGCGGUUAGUGGUGGUUGCCAGAAUCCGGUCACCGCAUUUUCGGCACGAAACUAAUGCCAAAUAGUAGCCCCCAUCGAGUAAUACGUAUUUAUGUAAAAAUUAGCUGGAAAGAAGGGCUCAAUCAUCCCGAAUUUAUAGAAAAAGGGGCGGUUAGUGUUUCCUACGAUUUAAAAUUCAUAGGUUUUGAGGGGUUUUAGGGAAUUUAGCUUGGAGAUUUGGAAAUAGGGGGUUAAGGAGAGCAUAUGAUGAAAAAAUAGGGCCAAUUGGACCGACACCAACAGCGGCGCGCGGUGGUGGCAGUGGUGGAGCGACAACGGCUUUGAGAGAGGGGGAGAGAGAGAUG